UACGUAGGGUGCGAGCGUUGUCCGGAAUUAUUGGGCGUAAAGGGCUCGUAGGCGGUUUGUCGCGUCGGGAGUGAAAUCCACUGGCUUAACUGGUGGCUUGCUUUCGAUACGGGCAUGACUGGAGUUCGGCAGGGGAGACUGGAAUUCCUGGUGUAGCGGUGAAAUGCGCAGAUAUCAGGAGGAACACCGGUGGCGAAGGCGGGUCUCUGGGCCGAUACUGACGCUGAGGAGCGAAAGCGUGGGGAGCGAACAGG
rnacentral:rRNA from 1 species